rnacentral:rRNA from 1 species
GNANGGUGCAAGCGUUAUCCGGAUUUACUGGGUGNAAAGGGAGCGNAGACGGAUAGGCAAGUCUGGAGUGAGAACCCAGGGCUCAACCCUGGGACUGCUUUGGAAACUGCAGAUCUGGAGUGCCGGAGAGGUAAGCGGAUUUCCUAGUGUAGCGGUGAAAUGCGUAGAUAUUAGGAGGAACACCAGUGGCGAAGGCGGCUUACUGGACGGUGNCUGACGUUGAGGCUCGAAAGCGUGGGGAGCAAACAGGAUUAGAUACCCUGGUAGUCCACGCCGUAAACGAUGACUACUAGGUGUCGGUGUGCAAAGCACAUCGGUGCCGCAGCAAACGCAAUAAGUAGUCCACCUGGGGAGU